GAUGAACGCUGGCGGCGUGCCUAAUACAUGCAAGUCGAGCGCCCCUUUCAUUGCCAUUCACUAUAAGUGGAUGUCAGCGAUGGGGAGCGGCGGACGGCUGAGUAAGGCGUAGGAACGUACCCCAAAGUGAGGGAUAAGCACCGGAAACGGUGUCUAAUACCGCAUGUGGUCUAAGGAUUAAAGUCUUCGGACGCUUUGGGAGCGGCCUACGUAUGAUUAGUUAGUUGGUGAGGUAACGGCUCACCAAGACGACGAUCAUUAGCUGGUCUGAGAGGAUGAUCAGCCAGACUGGGACUGAGACACGGCCCAGACUCCUACGGGAGGCAGCAGUAGGGAAUUUUCCACAAUGGACGAAAGUCUGAUGGAGCAACGCCGCGUGCAGGAUGAAGGCCUUCGGGUCGUAAACUGCUUUUAUGAGUGAAGAUUUAAGACGGUAACUCAAGAAUAAGGGACGGCUAACUACG
rnacentral:rRNA from 1 species